AUGGACCUCAGGGCGCUCGCCUUUGCCGCUACCGUGCUCCUCGCCCUGGCCGCGCCGGCGCCGGUACUCGGGCAGGGCGUGGCGACGUCGUGCACGGCGUCGCUCAUCACCAGCUUCACGCCGUGCCUCAGCUUCCUGACCAACAGCACCAACGGCGGGGGGUCGUCGCCGACGGCGGACUGCUGCCGGUCCCUGUCGGCGGUGGUGACCACGAGCACCAGCUGUGCCUGCCUCAUCCUGACCGGCAACGUGCCGCUCGGCCUGCCGAUCAACCGGACCCUCGCCGUCACGCUGCCCAAGGCCUGCAACUCCAUGUCCGUCCCGCUCCAGUGCAAAGAUACGUCGGCUCAGCUCCCAGCUCCGGGCCCCGUCGCAGUCUCUCCUGCCAUGCCCCCGCUGCCGCCAAUGACGCCGGAGUCGCCGGAACCACCGUCCGAGACCACCGUGACGAUGCCGCCGGCUAGCCAGACCCAGGGGCAGACGAGGCCGCAGGUGGUGCCCAGCUCUGCCUGGAGGAACAGUGCGCCUGUGUCCAUGAUGCUCUUCAUCAUUGGAGCCAUGCUGGUCUGA
rnacentral:rRNA from 1 species